rnacentral:snoRNA from 1 species
CCCCUGCAAGAUGACGAGUUGGGCUCCUACAUCCUUGCUGGACUGGAGAUGGAGUACCAGCCGCUGGUGUCCGCCCUCGACGCCCGCACCGUUCCUGCCUCCCUCGAUGAGAUCUUUGCUAUGAUGAGCAAUUUUGAUC